UACGUAGGGGCCAAGCGUUUGUCCGGAUUUAUUGGGCGUAAAGAGCUCGUAGGCGGUCUGUCGCGUCUGCUGUGAAAACUCGGGGCUUAACCCCGGGCCUGCAGUGGGUACGGGCAGACUUGAGUACUGCAGGGGAGACUGGAAUUCCUGGUGUAGCGGUGGAAUGCGCAGAUAUCAGGAGGAACACCGGUGGCGAAGGCGGGUCUCUGGGCAGUAACUGACGCUGAGGAGCGAAAGCGUGGGGAGCGAACAGG
rnacentral:rRNA from 1 species